rnacentral:rRNA from 1 species
GCCAGCCGUGGUAGCAACUUGGACCAUUAGUUUCAAAUGGAUCACUGAAGUUAAGCAACGUUGCGCGUGGUUGGUAUCCGGAUGGGUGACCACCUGGGAAAUUGUGUGCAGCUGGCU